rnacentral:rRNA from 1 species
UAGGGAAUCUUCGGCAAUGGACGAAAGUCUGACCGAGCAACGCCGCGUGAGUGAAGAAGGUUUUCGGAUCGUAAAACUCUGUUGUUCGAGAAGAACAAGGACGUUAGUAACUGAACGUCCCCUGACGGUAUCUAACCAGAAAGCCACGGCUAACUACGUGCCAGCAGCCGCGGUAAUACGUAGGUGGCAAGCGUUGUCCGGAUUUAUUGGGCGUAAAGCGAGCGCAGGCGGUUUCUUAAGUCUGAUGUGAAAGCCCCCGGCUCAACCGGGGAGGGUCAUUGGAAACUGGGAGACUUGAGUGCAGAAGAGGAGAGUGGAAUUCCAUGUGUAGCGGUGAAAUGCGUAGAUAUAUAGAGGAACACCAGUGGCGAAGGUGGCUCUCUGGUCUGUAACUGACGCUGAGGCUCGAAAGCGUGGGGAGCAAACAGG